rnacentral:rRNA from 1 species
CACGUAGGGCGCAAGCGUUGUCCGGAAUUAUUGGGCGUAAAGAGCUCGUAGGCGGUCUGUCGCGUCGGCUGUGAAAACCCGGGGCUCAACCCCGGGCCUGCAGUCGAUACGGGCAGACUAGAGUGUGGUAGGGGAGACUGGAAUUCCUGGUGUAGCGGUGAAAUGCGCAGAUAUCAGGAAGAACACCAACGGCGAAGGCAGCUCGCUAGGACGGAACUGACGCUGAGGCGCGAAAGCGUGGGGAGCAAACAGG